rnacentral:rRNA from 1 species
CCAGCACCCCGAGUUGUCGGGACGAUUAUUGGGCCUAAAGCAUCCGUAGCCUGUUCUGCAAGUCCUCCGUUAAAUCCACCUGCUUAACGGAUGGGCUGCGGGGGAUACUGCAGAGCUAGGAGGCGGGAGAGGCAAACGGUACUCAGUGGGUAGGGGUAAAAUCCUUUGAUCUACUGAAGACCACCAGUGGCGAAGGCGGUUUGCCAGAACACGCUCGACGGUGAGGGAUGAAAGCUGGGGGAGCAAACCGGGUUAGAUACCCGGGUAGUCCCAGCUGUAAACGAUGCAGACUCGGUGAUGGGUUGGCCUCGAGCCAACCCAGUGCCGCAGGGAAGCCGUUAAGUCUGCCGCCUGGGGAGUACGGUCGCAAGACUG